AUUUGAGAUCCCAGACAAAUUUUGAUAGAUUUUGGAAUUCUCUGUUCUGGUAAUCUGUUUUGCUCUAGAGUAUAGUCUGGUUUUGCCUUAAGGUUAUGUCAUCUUCGAGUUCUGGCUUUGUUCUAAGAGUAUUCUGAGAAUUCUGUUGCGCUUCACAGGUUUUAUUACCUGGGAGUCCUGGUUUUGCUCUCAGAGAUCUGUUUUUGCUCCAGUGGUCUGUUCUGUUCUGGAAAUCUGGAUCCAGUCAAAGUUAGUGGGCUACUGGAUAUGGUGCUAAGCUCAGAGCCCGGUUCCAAGAAAAGACAUCUCUUGGAAUCGCAGGGAGCCCUUCAGGUUCACAAAUGGAUGAUUUGCAGCCCCAGAGAGGAGAGGAAGCUAAAAAUCAGACUUAAGAACAUUUUACAGAUGAGAUGAAGAAUUUGAGACUCAGAAGGGUUCAAUGAUUUGUCCAAGACCACAUAGUAAGUGAUGAUGAAUCCUAGAUUAGGACCCAGAUUCCAAACUCAAAAUGAGCAUAUUUUAUACUCUACCAGCAUUGCUUCCUAUAAUAAUGGAGAUGUUCAUUUCUGAAACAAAAACCCCUGAUUAAAUAAGCAAUUAAUUUAAUAAAGAGAUAGAUGAGAAAGGAACCAACAACGCUUAUUUGCCAGGAUACUACGCCUUCAUCUUGAAUGCUGAAUCUCAGAAGGGUAAUUGGAGGCAAAUGGCCCCUGUAAAACAGGAUGGAGACAGCAUUCAAGCAAAGUGCCUAUAAUCUUUGACUCUACAAAGCAUCUCAAAGAUCCUCCAUCAGUCUUCUCUUCUCCUCAGGGUUGGGACGGAACACGUCUAUGGGACCAGGUCUAAUUGCUUGCUGUUCAGAGAGGCAUUCUGCAAGAGGGAGAGAGAAUCAAACACUAUCAGUUCCCAUGGAUGUGAAGCAGUGUGUGGUAGAGGCAGGCCAUAGAGAGCUGAGCUUGGAGCCAUGGUGGUUGGGUUCUAAAUUCUAUCUUUCAUACCUAAUGGAUGUACUAAUUGGGGAAGGCACCUUUCAGUGCCUUAGGCGGCUCUCUAAGACUUCAUGAAGUUUCAAAAGUACUGAACUUUCCUACUUUAAUUUCCUUAAGAAGAUAGGGAAUUUCCUCUUCCCCAAGUUUCCUGUACUGAUGAAAUCAGAUGUCUAGUCCUUGUCCCUAUUUGUCAUGUAGAAAAAGAAAAGGCCAUCAUUGAUUAUUGUCAGUCUCACUUUUUGUCCAGAAUAUUGGUAUGCCUACCUCACAGAUGAAGAAACUGAGGCUCAUGAAUGUAGUAUGACUUGCUUAUGGUCAUACCCUGUGCAUGGCAUAGGUGGAACUCAAAUUCAAGACAUCUGACUCCCUCCAGAUCAUCGGAACAAUAAUAAAAACUCACAUUGAUGGAGCAUUUAAAGGUUUAACAAAGGGGUGUUCUCACAAUUUUGAGGUACAGAAUAUGUAGUAUUAUGCCCCUUUUACUGAUAAGGAAACAGAGAUUCUGAGAGACUGGCUUGCCUAAGGUCAUAUAGCAAUUAUUAGAAGUAGGAUUUGAAUGCGACUGUCCUGGUUGCAUGUCUAGGGUGAAUGAAAAAGCAUUUGCUAAAUGUACACUAGUUCUAAGUACUGGGGGUACAAAUGGAAAAAGAAGACAUUGUUUGCUCUCAAGGAGCUCAUGCUGUAAUUGGGGGAGACAAGACCUAGUAUAGAGUUCGUUUGCAGGACAGAUAGCUAUGCCCAGGAAUCCGUAGGGUACAUUGGGAUGUUCCCCAAAAUGGAGAUUUUUGAUGGGAUGACCCAUACUUUCAAGACAUGAGGAGGCCAUAAAGUCAGUGUAGGAAGGGGCUUCUGGAAUUCUUCUGCCAGGAGGAGAGAUGGAGCUCAGUGUCCAUCUAGGACAGAAAGAGCAGAAUGUAGCCUUGGCAAGAAGGUUGGAGUAGGGCCUGGAUAGUCUUGAUGGGAGAAGGAGAUUGGAAUGGGACAUCCAUCCUUACUUGAUGCUAGCUGUCCCUGGAACCCUCCAUUUGCCCCAUUAUACCAUAUUGGGCAACAAGAAAAAGAAAAUUCUAAACUCUGUCACCUUGAGUUUUCCUCCUCUUUUGAGGCCCAUAUCUAAUUUGAGUUCCUGCUCAAAAACAUUGACCACUACAGAAAAGCAUAGGUAUUCUACUUUGUAGAGCUUUAUUUCAUUUCUAAGUGAGAGUUUGCUUAAGUUUAUGUCAUUGUACUUUUUCUAAAAUGGGGGGGGGGAAAUCCAAGUUAUCAGGGAUGCACACACAUACACACACACAUAUAUAUACACACAUUACAAAUACUUAGUGAUUUGUGUUUCAUACCAUUUAGCAUGUGCAUAAAUUUACUUUUAAUAAUUUAGAAGUAGUGGUUCAAAUCUAUCAUAUUAAAGAUUUUGAACUUAAAAGCUUUCAUUUGAUUUGUUUUGAUAGAGGAAAAACAAGUUUCCUUACUCUGAAGAAAAUAAUAAGACUACUAGCCAUUAUGCAUACAAUAGCUUUUUUGCCUUAUGACAUAUAAUCUUUGAUCAGCUCUUAGGGGAACUUGUAUUGUCUCUUCUUAGGAUUUAUCAGCAACUUAAUGCAGUGAUCCCUACACAUCUGGAAGGAGAAAACUUGCAUGUAAAGGGAAUGUUGGAAGGAGUCUUUCCUUUUUUCUGUCUAGUUUGUUCUAGCUCAAAAGUUGGGACUAGAGGAAAGAACCUCUCCAGAUUUAUUAUUGUUAUUGAUAUGUUCUAAAAUGGAGAAAUAUCACCUCCAUCUUAUCAUCUAGUUUCAAAAGAGAGAGGGGAACUCUUCCUACACUGGAAUUUUCCUACUUUUUAUGAGACUUAGCCUUGAAUUGUGUUUCCAACAUUUCCAACUUUAUGAUCCUUGAAGAGUCACCCAAACCUCAGUUUCCUCAGUGGUCAAAUGAGAAUAAUAAUUCUUGUGAUUUCUAUCUCCCGGAUUUAGAGGGAAAAUGAUUUGCAAAUCUUAAAGUGCUACUUUGAUGCCACCUACAUAUUCUAUUACUCCACAAACUCCAGUAAGGCUAGAUGAGGAGGAGAAAAAGUGGAAAGGGGGGAAACAGGUAGUAUUAGAAAGAUUUACACUAGAGCAGUCCAAAAGUCUGGGUAGAGGUGAGCCUGAAUGUAAGAGCAGAAUGAGGGUUCCAGAAGAAAUAUACUUCUUUUUCCUUCACUCUAGAUGAUAUUAAGUCCAAUAUAGAAGUGAUUUCCUUGAUCUGUAAAAGGAGGAUGAUAAUAGUUUUUCUGUUUUAUUUCAUAAAAUCCAGCUCAUGAAAUGCAGAGGAAAUCAAAGCUUGUUUUCUUCCACCUGAUCUUUAUUCAUCACUCUUUUGCUCUGAUCUAGUUCUUCUCUUCCCUAAACAUUUUCCUUCAACAGUUAUUUCAUUGUUUUCUACUUAUUUAGCAUCUCUGGGCAUUGCCAGUCAACCUGACCUUUGUCUUGCCACUGGACUUGGAUGUCUCAGGAAAAGAGAGACUGAUGACUUUGUGCAGCUCUGUCUGUAUCCCCUAAAUUCAUUUCGUGCACAAGUCAAGUGAUGACACCGGUCCUCUUCAAAACGAAGAAUAAACAACAAUUUAUCCUUUGAAGUGAACUCUAAAGUGAAUAGAAUUUUAACCAUAAUUUAUGACAUCCUUUAAUUGACGAUUCUUUCCACAAAUCUCACUUAGAACAGAUCUGUCUUAUGAUAUAAAGUUGAUUAAAUGAAGUAAGAAGCCAUAUGAAGGAACUUGCAUCAAACUUUUAAAAACUAUUUCAUGUGCUGAUGUACGUAACUAGGAAUUAGUAUAUACAAGUAUAGGUUUGGCUGAUAAAACAUGUGCCCUUAGUAACAACAAUAACAACUAACUUUUCUAUGGAGCUUUAAGUUUUGUGAAGAAAUUUUAGUCUCAUUGCAAAUCUGUGAGAUCCAUGUUUUUAUUGAAGGGAAACGAAGCUCAAAAAAGGUUAAAUAACUUAUCAACGAGAUGUAGCUGACAAGAGUGUGGGGCAGGAUGACAAACGCAGCUCUUUCUGACUCCAAGUGCAGCACUUUAUGAACCUGUGCCAUGUAGCCAAUACCUAGGAAACCUUAGUUUAUUUUUUAAGCGAUCUGUUUCUUAAUGCAAAAUGGCUGUGUAAACUCAGAAUUCUCUUGAUAAAACGUAAAAUUGCAGCCCCCAAACAUAUUAACCACACAGGAAGGAAUGCCUUGAAGGAUCGGUUAUGGUAUCAUGUCACACUUUGAAUCAAACCCAAGUUGAUGAUGACUGAACGUUCCCUUACUUCCUUCGGACAACUGCUUGUUGACCCAAUUGGCAGCCUUUCUUGGCAAGUCUCAGUAGAGGGAAUGACUGGAUGGACAUGGCAUUCUAUGAAAAUGGCACUAUAUUAAAAAAAACAACUGAAAGAAAGCUUUUAAAGUGAUGUUUAAGAGAGUAUAAUAUGGAAGAUUAAUGCUUGAGUUAAAUUCCUCCCAAAUCUGGCAAUUUUUUUUCUAAAUGGAAGUGCUGAUUCAUUCAAUAUUUGAAGAAGACCAGGACAACAUUUUUUUCUCUGCUCUUUUCCUCUUUCUAUGUCAAAUCCCUAUUUUUUUUUUUUACUGUCGCUGUCUUUCCUCAGUUUUAUUGCUUCAAAUCCUCUUACCCCGAUUGAUUUUCAGCACACACAGUGUUUUUUCCACUCUUCCUGCCUGCCCUGAUUGCAGUGAAGCAUAGGAAAACCACAUUAGUUAGGAUUAGAGUACAAGAAAUUUCAUAUAUCUUGUGUGUUUUGAUUUUCAUAACCUCUUUGUGAAAUAGGUGAGGUAGGCAGGGUAUUAUUGUUCCAUUCUUCGGAAAAUUACCUUGUAGUGACACAUAGCACCGUCUUCAGAGAAGCAAGAAAUCCUGCAUUUCUUCUCCCAUAUUGCUUUGCUGCAAAUUCUACAAAUCCUGGCUACCUUCCUUUUUCUCUUCUUCUUUUCAUUCCUUGUUUAUGGGGUCUACAAUUUAGAUAAUAGAUAACUCUUCCAGGUUUUUUUUUUAUUCUUUUUUGGGUCAUGGAUUAUAUUGGCAUUCAGAUGAAGCCUGUGAUCCCCUUCUCAGGAUAAUGUUUUUUAAUUGCACACAAUAAAAUACAGAGAAUUACAAGGGUUAGUGAAAAUAAAAGUGUAUUUUUUUCUACUUGUGUUCAGGCCUCCCUGAAAUUUUUCAGGGCAAGUUUGUGGUCCCUGAGUAAAGGGAUCACAAUAUAAUCCAGUUACAUCAUUUUACAAGUGAGAAAACUGAGACCCAGAAUAUGAAGUGACUUGCCCAUGUCCUAUAGGUAAAGAGAGAGAAACUAGAUUAGAUGAGAGGGGAGAGUCAUCAGAGGGAUGAAGACAUAGAGGCACUUUAUUUCACUUUAAAAGCCUUGUCAAAAAAUUAGGCAUAGCCAAAGGGCACUAAAAGACUUUCUACCCUUUGAUCCAGCCAUAGCACUGUUGGGUUUGUACCCCAAAGAGAUAAUGGGGAAAAAGACUUGUACAAGAAUAUUCAUAGCUGUGCUCUUUGUGGUGGCCAAAAAUUGGAAAAUGAGGGGAUACCUUUCAAUUGGGGAAUAGCUGAAGACAUUGUGGUAAAUGUUGGUGAUGGAAUACUAUCGUGCUAAAAGGAAUAAUCAAGUGGAGGAAUUCCAUGGAGACUGGAACAACCUCCAGGAAGUGAUAUAGAGUGAGAGGAGCAGAACCAGGAGAACAUUGUACACAGAGACUGAUACACUGUGGUACAAUCGAACUUAAUGGACUUCUCCAUUAGUGGCAAUGCAGUGAUCCUGAACAACCCAGGGCGAUCUACGGAAAAAAAUACUAUCCACAUUCAGAGUUAAAAUGGUGGGAGUAGAAACACAGGAGAAAAACAAUUACUUGAUUACAUGGGUUGUGGGGAUACUGCUGGGGAUGUAGACUCUAAAUGAACAUCCUAGUGCAAACACCAACAAUAUGGAAAUGAGUUUUGAUCAAGGACACAAGUAAU